GAUGAACGCUGGCGGCGUGCCUAAUACAUGCAAGUCGAGCGAACGGACGAGAAGCUUGCUUCUCUGAUGUUAGCGGCGGACGGGUGAGUAACACGUGGAUAACCUACCUAUAAGACUGGGAUAACUUCGGGAAACCGGAGCUAAUACCGGAUAAUAUUUUGAACCGCAUGGUUCAAAAGUGAAAGACGGUCUUGCUGUCACUUAUAGAUGGAUCCGCGCUGCAUUAGCUAGUUGGUACGGUAACGGCUUACCACGGCAACGAUGCGUAGCCGACCUGAGAGGGUGAUCGGCCACACUGGAGCUGAGACACGGUCCAGACUCCUGCGGGAGGCAGCAGUAGGGAAUCUUCCGCAGUGGGCGAAAGCCUGACGGAGCAACGCCGCGUGAGUGAUGAAGGUCUUCGGAUCGUAAAACUCUGUUAUGAGGGAAGAACAUAUGUGUAAGUAACUGUGCACAUCUUGACGGUACCUAAUCAGAAAGCCACGGCUAACUACGUG
rnacentral:rRNA from 1 species